rnacentral:rRNA from 1 species
GUUUAAAAGGUGCAAAUGCAUCACUACCAGAUGGACCUGCGUUGUAUUAGCUAGUAGGUGAGGUAACGGCUCACCUAGGCGACGAUACAUAGCCGACCUGAGAGGGUGAUCGGCCACACUGGGACUGAGACACGGCCCAGACUCCUACGGGAGGCAGCAGUAGGGAAUCUUCGGCAAUGGGGGGAACCCUGACCGAGCAACGCCGCGUGAGUGAAGAAGGUUUUCGGAUCGUAAAGCUCUGUUGUUAAGGAAGAACGAGUGUGAGAAUGGAAAGUUCAUACUGUGACGGUACUUAACCAGAAAGGGACGGCUAACUACGUGCCAGCAGCCGCGGUAAUACGUAGGUCCCGAGCGUUGUCCGGAUUUAUUGGGCGUAAAGCGAGCGCAGGCGGUUAGAUAAGUCUGAAGUUAAAGGCAGUGGCUCAACCAUUGUAGGCUUUGGAAACUGUUUAACUUGAGUGCAGAAGGGGAGAGUGGAAUUCCAUGUGUAGCGGUGAAAUGCGUAGAUAUAUGGAGGAACACCGGUGGCGAAAGCGGCUCUCUGGUCUGUAACUGACGCUGAGGCUCGAAAGCGUGGGGAGCGAACAGGAUUAGAUACCCUGGUAGUCCACGCCGUAAACGAUGAGUGCUAGGUGUUAGGUCCUUUCCGGGACUUAGUGCCGCAGCUAACGCAUUAAGCACUCCGCCUGGGGAGUACGACCGCAAGGUGAAACUCAAAGGAAUUGACGGG